CAUUUCUCUUCGCAGGCAUGCGCCGUUGAGAGUGCAGCUCGUCACCAUGGCAACCGGUCAGUUAUCGUUUAUGUGACAGCUCCUUUUAUUGACAUGUCACACCCUUUCAUAAAGAUCCUCGCCAGUAUAGACAACGUCCUUUUCUCCUUUCUUGACCUCGAUGAACUGUUUUUGGACUCGCCCCUUCGGCUUUGGUACCAGCAGAGACUCUGGCUCCUCAAUGAAGACCACCAGUGCAUCUUUAUUUCCGACGCCUGCAGAACUGAGAUCCUGAGAAAGUAUGGUGGCACUUACUUGGAUAUGGAUGCCUUGACGCUUCGACCACUUCCGAACAGGACCAAUUAUUUGGGGAGAAUCGACAACCAAACAAUCAACGGUGCCGUCUUGAGUCUUGUUAAAGGGCAUCCUCUG